AUACGUAGGGGGCAAGCGUUAUCCGGAUUUACUGGGUGUAAAGGGAGCGCAGGCGGCAAAGCAAGCCAGAGGUGAAAACCCGGGGCUCAACCCCGAGGAUUGCCUUUGGAACUGCUAUGCUGGAGUGCUGGAGGGGCAGGCGGAAUUCCUGGUGUAGCGGUGAAAUGCGUAGAUAUCAGGAGGAACACCGGUGGCGAAGGCGGCCUGCUGGACAGUAACUGACGCUGAGGCUCGAAAGCGUGGGGAGC
rnacentral:rRNA from 1 species